UGACCUCAAAUCAGGUAGGAUUACCCGCUGAACUUAAGCAUAUCAU
rnacentral:rRNA from 1 species